UACAGAGGUCCCAAGCGUUUGUUCGGAUUCACUGGGCGUAAAGGGUGCGUAGGUGGUCAGGUAAGUCUGAUGUGAAAGCUCUGGGCUCAACCCAGAAAUGGCAUUGGAUACUAUCUGGCUAGAGGAAUGGAGGGGGACUGGAAUACUUGGUGUAGCAGUGAAAUGCGUAGAUAUCAAGUGGAACACCAGUGGCGAAGGCGAGUCCCUGGACAUUUCCUGACACUGAGGCACGAAAGCUAGGGGAGCAAACAGG
rnacentral:rRNA from 1 species